AGGGCACCACCAGGAGUGGAGCCUGCGGCUUAAUUUGACUCAACACGGGAAAACUCACCCGGCCCGGACACUGGAAGGAUUGACAGAUUGAGAGCUCUUUCUUGAUUCAGUGGGUGGUGGUGCAUGGCCGUUCUUAGUUGGUGGAGUGAUUUGUCUGGUUAAUUCCGAUAACGAACGAGACUCUAGCCUAUUAAAUAGAUCGUUGGCUUACAAACGCCGGCGAGACUUCUUAGAGGGACAGGCGGCGAUUCAGCCGCACGAAACAGAGCAAUAACAGGUCUGUGAUGCCCUUAGAUGUCCGGGGCCGCACGCGCGCUACACUGAAGUGAUCAGCGUGCAUUUUGAAACCUACUCUGUCAAGAGUGGGGAACCCAAUGAACCUUCUUCGUGAUUGGGAUAGGGGACUGUAAUUAUUCCCCUUGAACGAGGAAUUCCCAGUAAGCGCGAAUCAUAAGUUUGCGCUGAUUACGUCCCUGCCCUUUGUACACACCGCCCGUCGCUACUACCGAUUGAAUGUUU
rnacentral:rRNA from 1 species